rnacentral:rRNA from 1 species
UACAGAGGUCUCAAGCGUUGUUCGGAUUCAUUGGGCGUAAAGGGUGCGUAGGUGGCGGGGUAAGUCAGGUGUGAAAUUUCGGAGCUCAACUCCGAAACUGCAUUGAUACUGCCUUGCUUGAGGACUGGAGAGGAGACUGGAAUUCACGGUGUAGCAGUGAAAUGCGUAGAUAUCGUGAGGAAGACCAGUGGCGAAGGCGGGUCGUCUGGACAGUUCCUCGACACUGAAGCACGAAGGC